GUGGGGAAUCUUCCGCAAUGGACGAAAGUCUGACGGAGCAACGCCGCGUGAGUGAUGAAGGUCUUCGGAUUGUAAAGCUCUGUUAAUCGGGACGAAAGAGCCUAGUGUGAAUAAUGCUAGGAAGUGACGGUACCGGAAUAGAAAGCCACGGCUAACUACGUGCCAGCAGCCGCGGUAAUACGUAGGUGGCAAGCGUUGUCCGGAAUUAUCGGGCGUAAAGCGCGCGCAGGCGGAUCUGCCAGUCUGUCUUAAAAGUUCGGGGCUUAACCCCGUGAUGGGAUGGAAACUACAGAUCUAGAGUAUCGGAGAGGAAAGUGGAAUUCCUAGUGUAGCGGUGAAAUGCGUAGAUAUUAGGAAGAACACCAGUGGCGAAGGCGACUUUCUGGACGAAAACUGACGCUGAGGCGCGAAAGCCAGGGGAGCGAACGGGAUUAGAAACCCGAGUAGUCC
rnacentral:rRNA from 1 species